CUCUAUUUUUUAUUUUAUUUGCUGAUAAAUAAGAAAACAUCCUUAGUUAUACACCUUUACUCAGGUGCUGAUUCAUCUUCUGAUGAAUUAAGUGAAGCCUUACUCGGAUCUUGCCACACCAGGGUGUUGUUCCUGAUACAUUUUGCAUUCAGUUUGAAAGCUAAGUGUUACCGGGCUUCACUUCAGCAGUUCUGAAGCUGUCAGUGCUACUCUAAGAGUAUCUGUUUUCUCUCCUUUUGGAAACAAGAACCAAAGUUGUGCUAAAACAUGAACACAAUCUUUAUUAAACCUGUAAUUCAUAAAAUAGUUCCAAAGAACAAGGUUUUCACACCAAUUCUCGGGGGAGAACAAACGUAAAGAUCAAAUCUGUUUUCUUUACAGCGUUGUUGCACAGUUUUAUGCUAAGUUAUUGUCUAAAAGUUGCCCAGCACUCUUUGAUUUCACUAAUACAAACCAGAGGGCUACUCCUGUCCAGCACUUAAAGCUGCUCAGGGCAUUUCUAGCUGAGAAGGCAUAAAAACAAACUCAAUCUUUGCACAGUACCAUCCUACUAACUUAGCAAAGUACACCUUUGCACUCUGGAGCCACACUCCCAAGGCAAAACCAUAAAGUCAUCUCCGUGUAGGUACGGCUUUUCAGAUGGAUCUCUCGCUUGCUGAGCUCAGUAGCUCGCUGAGAUGGAAAUGAAGAUAUUUUUAGAUCGUAAGAAUUUAAAAGCAAAAGCCCAUUCCUUGGUCUCCGAGCCACAGUUUACUUUCCCUCCUCAGCCCCCGCCCCGGACCCACGCGGCACCCUGUGGGUACUGUAGUUUUGGGCGGAGCGGCGGAGCACGCCUUCCCCAUCCUUAAAAUCCCCCCGAAGAAAUUUUCCAGCAUUAUUGGCUUCCUGAUCAUUGUGACACACAAGGCACACAUUUGGCACUCAAGCAAGAGGCUGGAGGUGGAGGAGAGUAGGACCCAUAGCAAGGUCGCAGUAGCAAGGACCAGCACAAGCCAACUGCGAAACACUGGUAGGUCAACCUAUACCCUGCGUAAUUCAGCUUCUCUUUUUUUCAAUCCAAACUUGAACAAGAUCCAGAAGCUGACAAAGGUUCUCUGAAAAGGCUAGCUGAGAGCUUUCCUUGUGUGUGCUGAGAUCUUUGUGUAUUCGUAGCCCUUACCUCACGCAUACAAAAAUCUUUGUCUAUUCAUCAUGAUGUGCAACAGACUCUAUUUUCAGCCUUCUGAUUAGCGUUAAUUCAGAGCUGGGUUCAAUCUGAAGGGAUUUGGCUCUGUGUUGGCAGGUGCAGGAGCCAAGUAAAGGAUGGCAGAUUCCAGGGGGGGCAGUACAGAGCAGCUCAGCUGUUGAAGUUGGUAAGAGAAGGUCCUAGGUUUUGGCUUCUGCUCCAAGCCAAGGGUAAUAUUUUAUCCUGUUACUGAUUAUGGAAGGGGAA